GGCAUUGUUUAUCUAUGAGUCUGAGACUGGAUGAGGGGCAAACAUUUGACUGUGAGUCUGAGACUUGAUGAAGGAUCAUUAGACAGCUGAGUUGGAUCGGUGUCCGGGUCAUAGGGUGGAAGAUGUAGGAGCGAGGAAACGAUUU